rnacentral:rRNA from 3 species
UUAAGCGACUAAGCGUACACGGUGGAUGCCCUGGCAGUCAGAGGCGAUGAAGGACGUGCUAAUCUGCGAUAAGCGUCGGUAAGGUGAUAUGAACCGUUAUAACCGGCGAUUUCCGAAUGGGGAAACCCAGUGUGUUUCGACACACUAUCAUUAACUGAAUCCAUAGGUUAAUGAGGCGAACCGGGGGAACUGAAACAUCUAAGUACCCCGAGGAAAAGAAAUCAACCGAGAUUCCCCCAGUAGCGGCGAGCGAACGGGGAGCAGCCCAGAGCCUGAAUCAGUGUGUGUGUUAGUGGAAGCGUCUGGAAAGGCGCGCGAUACAGGGUGACAGCCCCGUACACAAAAAUGCACAUGCUGUGAGCUCGAUGAGUAGGGCGGGACACGUGGUAUCCUGUCUGAAUAUGGGGGGACCAUCCUCCAAGGCUAAAUACUCCUGACUGACCGAUAGUGAACCAGUACCGUGAGGGAAAGGCGAAAAGAACCCCGGCGAGGGGAGUGAAAAAGAACCUGAAACCGUGUACGUACAAGCAGUGGGAGCACGCUUCGGCGUGUGACUGCGUACCUUUUGUAUAAUGGGUCAGCGACUUAUAUUCUGUAGCAAGGUUAACCGAAUAGGGGAGCCGAAGGGAAACCGAGUCUUAACUGGGCGUUAAGUUGCAGGGUAUAGACCCGAAACCCGGUGAUCUAGCCAUGGGCAGGUUGAAGGUUGGGUAACACUAACUGGAGGACCGAACCGACUAAUGUUGAAAAAUUAGCGGAUGACUUGUGGCUGGGGGUGAAAGGCCAAUCAAACCGGGAGAUAGCUGGUUCUCCCCGAAAGCUAUUUAGGUAGCGCCUCGUGAAUUCAUCUCCGGGGGUAGAGCACUGUUUCGGCAAGGGGGUCAUCCCGACUUACCAACCCGAUGCAAACUGCGAAUACCGGAGAAUGUUAUCACGGGAGACACACGGCGGGUGCUAACGUCCGUCGUGAAGAGGGAAACAACCCAGACCGCCAGCUAAGGUCCCAAAGUCAUGGUUAAGUGGGAAACGAUGUGGGAAGGCCCAGACAGCCAGGAUGUUGGCUUAGAAGCAGCCAUCAUUUAAAGAAAGCGUAAUAGCUCACUGGUCGAGUCGGCCUGCGCGGAAGAUGUAACGGGGCUAAACCAUGCACCGAAGCUGCGGCAGCGACGCUUAUGCGUUGUUGGGUAGGGGAGCGUUCUGUAAGCCUGUGAAGGUGUGCUGUGAGGCAUGCUGGAGGUAUCAGAAGUGCGAAUGCUGACAUAAGUAACGAUAAAGCGGGUGAAAAGCCCGCUCGCCGGAAGACCAAGGGUUCCUGUCCAACGUUAAUCGGGGCAGGGUGAGUCGACCCCUAAGGCGAGGCCGAAAGGCGUAGUCGAUGGGAAACAGGUUAAUAUUCCUGUACUUGGUGUUACUGCGAAGGGGGGACGGAGAAGGCUAUGUUGGCCGGGCGACGGUUGUCCCGGUUUAAGCGUGUAGGCUGGUUUUCCAGGCAAAUCCGGAAAAUCAAGGCUGAGGCGUGAUGACGAGGCACUACGGUGCUGAAGCAACAAAUGCCCUGCUUCCAGGAAAAGCCUCUAAGCAUCAGGUAACAUCAAAUCGUACCCCAAACCGACACAGGUGGUCAGGUAGAGAAUACCAAGGCGCUUGAGAGAACUCGGGUGAAGGAACUAGGCAAAAUGGUGCCGUAACUUCGGGAGAAGGCACGCUGAUAUGUAGGUGAAGCGACUUGCUCGUGGAGCUGAAAUCAGUCGAAGAUACCAGCUGGCUGCAACUGUUUAUUAAAAACACAGCACUGUGCAAACACGAAAGUGGACGUAUACGGUGUGACGCCUGCCCGGUGCCGGAAGGUUAAUUGAUGGGGUCAGCGCAAGCGAAGCUCUUGAUCGAAGCCCCGGUAAACGGCGGCCGUAACUAUAACGGUCCUAAGGUAGCGAAAUUCCUUGUCGGGUAAGUUCCGACCUGCACGAAUGGCGUAAUGAUGGCCAGGCUGUCUCCACCCGAGACUCAGUGAAAUUGAACUCGCUGUGAAGAUGCAGUGUACCCGCGGCAAGACGGAAAGACCCCGUGAACCUUUACUAUAGCUUGACACUGAACAUUGAGCCUUGAUGUGUAGGAUAGGUGGGAGGCUUUGAAGUGUGGACGCCAGUCUGCAUGGAGCCGACCUUGAAAUACCACCCUUUAAUGUUUGAUGUUCUAACGUUGACCCGUAAUCCGGGUUGCGGACAGUGUCUGGUGGGUAGUUUGACUGGGGCGGUCUCCUCCUAAAGAGUAACGGAGGAGCACGAAGGUUGGCUAAUCCUGGUCGGACAUCAGGAGGUUAGUGCAAUGGCAUAAGCCAGCUUGACUGCGAGCGUGACGGCGCGAGCAGGUGCGAAAGCAGGUCAUAGUGAUCCGGUGGUUCUGAAUGGAAGGGCCAUCGCUCAACGGAUAAAAGGUACUCCGGGGAUAACAGGCUGAUACCGCCCAAGAGUUCAUAUCGACGGCGGUGUUUGGCACCUCGAUGUCGGCUCAUCACAUCCUGGGGCUGAAGUAGGUCCCAAGGGUAUGGCUGUUCGCCAUUUAAAGUGGUACGCGAGCUGGGUUUAGAACGUCGUGAGACAGUUCGGUCCCUAUCUGCCGUGGGCGCUGGAGAACUGAGGGGGGCUGCUCCUAGUACGAGAGGACCGGAGUGGACGCAUCACUGGUGUUCGGGUUGUCAUGCCAAUGGCACUGCCCGGUAGCUAAAUGCGGAAGAGAUAAGUGCUGAAAGCAUCUAAGCACGAAACUUGCCCCGAGAUGAGUUCUCCCUGACUCCUUGAGAGUCCUGAAGGAACGUUGAAGACGACGACGUUGAUAGGCCGGGUGUGUAAGCGCAGCGAUGCGUUGAGCUAACCGGUACUAAUGAACCGUGAGGCUUAACCUU